rnacentral:rRNA from 1 species
CCUACGUGAGGCAGCAGUGGGGAAUAUUGCGCAAUGGACGAAAGUCUGACCCAGCAACGCCGCGUGAGGGAAGAAGGCUUUCGGGUUGUAAACUUCUUUUAGGGGGGAAGAGCAGAAGCCGGUACCCCUUGAAUAAGCCCCGGCUAACUCCGUGCCAGCAGCCGCGGUAAUACGUAGGUGGCAACCGUUGUCCGGAUUUACUGGGGGUAAAGGGCGUGCAGCCGGUAAGACAAGUCAGAUGUGGAAUCCUGCGGCUCAACCGCGGAACUGCAUUUGAAACUGUUUUGCUUGAGUAUCGGAUAGGGAAGCGGAAUUCCUAGUGUAGCGGGGAAAUGCGUAGAUAUUAGGAAGAAAACCAGUGGCGAAGGCGGACUACUGGACGACAACUGACGGUGAGGCGCGAAAGCGUGGGGAGCAAACAGGAUUAGAUACCCCGGUAGUC